UACGUAGGGUGCGAGCGUUGUCCGGAAUUAUUGGGCGUAAAGAGCUCGUAGGCGGUGUGUCACGUCGGCCGUGAAAACCUGCAGCUUAACUGUGGGCGUGCGGUCGAUACGGGCAGACUUGAGUUCGGCAGGGGAGACUGGAAUUCCUGGUGUAGCGGUGAAAUGCGCAGAUAUCAGGAGGAACACCGGUGGCGAAGGCGGGUCUCUGGGCCGAUACUGACGCUGAGGAGCGAAAGCGUGGGGAGCGAACAGG
rnacentral:rRNA from 1 species